rnacentral:tRNA from 9 species
GGACGCGUAGCUCAGCGGGAGAGCACUACGUUGACAUCGUAGGGGUCGCUGGUUCAAUCCCAGCCGCGUCCACCA